rnacentral:piRNA from 1 species
UGAAGGUGAUGGUUCUUCUUGGUGGUAC